CAGCAGUCGCCGCGGGAAUACAGAGGGUGCGAGCGUUAAUCGGAUUUACUGGGCGUAAAGCGUGCGUAGGCGGCUUUUUAAGUCGGAUGUGAAAUCCCUGAGCUUAACUUAGGAAUUGCAUUCGAUACUGGGAAGCUAGAGUAUGGGAGAGGAUGGUAGAAUUCCAGGUGUAGCGGUGAAAUGCGUAGAGAUCUGGAGGAAUACCGAUGGCGAAGGCAGCCAUCUGGCCUAAUACUGACGCUGAGGUACGAAAGCAUGGGGAGCAAACAGGAUUAGAUACCCGGGUAGUCCCUGUCUCUUAUAA
rnacentral:rRNA from 1 species